rnacentral:rRNA from 1 species
CAGCCGCCGCGGUAAAACAGAGGGUGCAAGCGUUAAUCGGAAUUACUGGGCGUAAAGCGCGCGUAGGUGGUUUGUUAAGUUGGAUGUGAAAGCCCCGGGCUCAACCUGGGAACUGCAUCCAAAACUGGCAAGCUAGAGUACGGUAGAGGGUGGUGGAAUUUCCUGUGUAGCGGUGAAAUGCGUAGAUAUAGGAAGGAACACCAGUGGCGAAGGCGACCACCUGGACUGAUACUGACACUGAGGUGCGAAAGCGUGGGGAGCAAACAGGAUUAGAUACCCGCGUAGUCCCUGUCUCUUAUAC